CCAAAUCCUAAAUCUAUCAUGUUUAUGUGCUAGUAGUAAAGAAAUUGAGUUCAAACGGAACAAAUGACUCAAAAACAAUGAAUUUUACUGAGGAAAAAACAUGGCAGUCGUAGGUAUUAGGGUUGCAAGAAGAUUUGGCCGAAGAAGGAGACAAAUAAAAAUUACCUUUUACCCUUCAUUCAAAAAAAAAAAAAAACAUAAAAAUACACUGAGUAUGUUCGAACCCGUGACUUCCUUCUCAUACAAG
rnacentral:lncRNA from 1 species